rnacentral:rRNA from 1 species
GACGAACGCUGGCGGCGUGCUUAACACAUGCAAGUCGAACGGAGUGGCGAACGGGUGAGUAACACGUGGGUGACCUGCCCUGCACUUCGGGAUAAGCCUGGGAAACUGGGUCUAAUACCGGAAAGUUUGGGAUGGGCCCGGGGCCUAUCAGCUUGUUUGGGGGGUAAGGGCCUACCAAGGCGGCGACGGGUCGCCGGCCUGGGAGGGUGGACGGCCACAUUGCGACUGAGGCACGGACCAGACUCCUACGUGAGGCAGCAGUGGGGAAUAUUGCACAACGGGCGGAAGUCUGAUGAAGCGACGCCGCGUGGGGGAUGACGGCCUUCGGGUUAUAAACUCCUUUCACCAUCGACGCGGUAGAUGGAGAAGAAGCACCGGCUAACUACGUGCCAGCAGCCGCGGUAAUUC